CCUACGGGAGGCAGCAGUGGGGGAUAUUGCACAAUGGGGGGAACCCUGAUGCAGCGACGCCGCGUGGGUGAAGGAGUGCUUCGGCAUGUAAAGCCCUAUCGGCAGGGAAGAAGCAAGACGGUACCUGACUAAGAAGCCCCGGCUAACUACGUGCCAGCAGCCGCGGUAAUACGUAGGGGGCGAGCGUUAUCCGGAUUCACUGGGUGUAAAGGGAGCGUAGACGGCCAUGCAGGCCAGGGGUGAAAGCCCGGGGCCCAACCCCGGGACUGCCCUUGGAACUGUGCGGCUAGAGUGCGGGAGGGGCAGGCGGAAUUCCUGGUGUAGCGGUGAAAUGCGUAGAUAUCAGGAGGAACACCGGCGGCGAAGGCGGCCUGCUGGACUGCGACUGACGUUGAGGCUCGAAAGCGUGGGGAGCGAACAGGAUUAGAUACCCCUGUAGUC
rnacentral:rRNA from 1 species